UACGUAGGUGGCAAGCGUUGUCCGGAAUUAUUGGGCGUAAAGCGCGCGCAGGCGGUCCUUUAAGUCUGAUGUGAAAGCCCACGGCUCAACCGUGGAGGGUCAUUGGAAACUGGGGGACUUGAGUGCAGGAGAGAAAAGUGGAAUUCCACGUGUAGCGGUGAAAUGCGUAGAGAUGUGGAGGAACACCAGUGGCGAAGGCGACUUCCUGGCCUGUUCUUGACGCUGAGGCGCGAAAGCUAGGGGAGCAAACGGG
rnacentral:rRNA from 1 species